UUCCAGUCUGAGGAAACAAGACCAGCUGAGGAUCUGGCCAGCCACCAUGAAGCAAACAGCUCCCCGGCAUGGCAUUCCCUUUUGCCAUGGGUCUAAAAACAGCAGAGCCAAGCAACUGUGAAUUGAAACCUCUGAAAAGGUAAAUCCUUAUUGCUGAAGUUACACACAAUUUGGACACAGAACUUGAAGGACUUGACCUGGAACUGACCUGAAGCCUCCUCCUUGUACUAAUGGCCUUCACUCAUCGUACUCAAUGGUGUUGCACAGCUGACAAGAGAGAGAAGCAAUCACUAGCCCAACCCAGCUAUGCUCUCUUUUAAAACCAAUUUCUUUUAUCUUAUUGGGGUUAAUUCCAUUAGACAAAUGCCACACUCACAAAUCUAUUCAAUAUAAAUUCUCUACCUUUGUACCUCAUGUGAAGCUUCUAGAUGACUAAACCCCUAAAUUCUAGGGGUGUGUGUGUGUGUGUGUGUGUGUGUGUGUGUG